rnacentral:misc_RNA from 1 species
AACGCAGAUUGCGCUUUCGGGAUAGGCCUGAAAGCACGCCUCUUUGAGUAUCGAUUCAACCCACGCUCGACGGCGUUCUUAAUGCAAAUUGAGAAACGUGCAGUCGGUUGUUGAAUGAGUUUCACACUGUCGAGGUGUGUAACUUGAAGCAUCGACAGUUUACAAGUUCAUCGCAAACAAACGACGAACUCCCUGUCGAACGCUAAGCAAUGCGGUUAAUUUUUGCCGUUCGCGGCGAAUCUACAAUUGCAUUUGUUUGGUCAGUUUGACAAACAAAAGGGACUCGUUGGCGAAACGAACUCGAUUCCAAGUCCUUCGUGGUUAUUUGGAAAUCGAACCAAGCUUUUGAUUAAGAUCUCAAAUGAAGCGAGGAAACCCGCCGAACUUAA